rnacentral:rRNA from 1 species
UGAGGGAAUAUUUGGGUCAAUGGGCGAGAGCCUGAACCAGCCAAGUCGUGUGAGGGAAGACGGUCCUACGGAUUGUAAACCUCUUUUGUCGGGGAGUAAUAGGCGGGACGUGUCCUGCUGUGAGAGUACCCGAAGAAAAAGCAUCGGCUAACUCCGUGCCAGCAGCCGCGGUAAUACGGAGGAUGCAAGCGUUAUCCGGAUUUAUUGGGUUUAAAGGGUGCGUAGGCUGUUUGACAAGUCAGUGGUGAAAGCCCGGGGCUUAACUCCGGAACUGCCGUUGAUACUGUUGAGCUGGAAUACGGAUGCCGUGGGAGGAAUGAGUAGUGUAGCGGUGAAAUGCAUAGAUAUUACUCAGAACACCGAUUGCGAAGGCAUCUCACGAAUCCGUCAUUGACGCUGAGGCACGAAAGCGUGGGGAUCAAACAGGAUUAGAUACCCUGGUAGU